GGUUAGGAAACUGCAACAAGGGAGAUCUAAAGAAGCCACUUGCUAAUUUUCCAACAAACCAUUGCAGACAGGCUGUUCAGAAGACAGCCAAGAAGUUUCAGUGAGAAGCCUGAAGCUGGAGCCUGAGAGCCAGUGGUGCCAAGGAAGAGGGGAAUGAUGGGUGUGGAUACAUGCUGCUGUCCUUCUGAAAAUGCUGAAAGAAGGAUUAAAAAGGAGGAAGAAGCCUCCUAAGGAGGGAAAAUUAAGAAUUGCAAAAUACCAAGUUGCCUGCAAAUCAAGACUUGAAAAGUGAGGUAUUCCAUGAAUCAUGCAGUGGGCUGUGGUAUGGAUUACUUGACUGAAGAGGAUUUUGACUUACAACAUGUGAAAGCCUUUCUUAAGAAUUAAGAUUAGAGAGACCAACAACACGUGGCACUUCGGAGUUCUUGCUGUUAGGUGCUCAGCACAGACACCUAACUGAAAAUGUUCAGUUCUGUUAAAAGAGGUCUUUCAGGGUGGGAGAACUCCUGUCAUUUUUGUUUGAGUGAAAUGCAGUUCUGACCACCAGUGCUCUUUGUUUUGAAGGCUCACCAAAAAC